UCUUCGGAGGCACCUGCACAGGUGCUGCAUGGCUGUCGUCAGCUCGUGUCGUGAGAGUGUUCGGGUUAAGUCCCGGCAACCGAGCCGCAACCCUUAUCCCCAGUUGCCAUCAGGUAAAGCUGGGAACUCUGGGGAGACUGCCGGUGAUAAACCGGAGGAAGGCGGGGAUGACGUCAAGUCCUCAUGGCCCUUACAUCCCGGGCUACACACGUGCUACAAUGGCAGGUACAGAGGGCUGCAAAGCCGCGAGGUAGAGCGAAUCCCAGAAAACCUGUCUCAGUCCGGAUUGAAGUCUGCAACUCGACUUCAUGAAGGCGGAAUCGCUAGUAACCGCGAAUCAGCAGGUCGCGGUGAAUACGUUCCCGGGCCUU
rnacentral:rRNA from 1 species